ensembl:lncRNA
GGCUAAGCUAGUGGGGGCAAAGUUUCAGUGCAUUCCGUUGAUGUAGACGGCGUGAAAACGGAAACAAGUAUGCCGGCUCACUGUGCUGCAUACAAUUGCACACUGCGUCGUACGAUUGAGACAAGGAAACUUGGAAUGACUUUUCAUAGGUUUCCCAGAGACUAUGGGUUGAGGAGGAAUUGGAAGUUUGUCGGCUUAGACCUGGUGUCAUUCCAUCAGUGUUAAACUUCCCGGCUCAUCUUGGAAGAGUACGUGCCAGGAAGAGUACGUGCCAGAAAGACCACGACCAAGCAGCCUUGAGAUCUUAGGCAGCGUCUCCCUCAGGUCCCUCUCUAUCUCCCCACACAUCCACCAACCACUGGAACACAUCUCCAAAGUUCUGCCAGGCCAGCUCAGCUUCCCUUCAGAAGAAGUGCUGCCAGAUGAAGGAGCCUUUUGAGAGGCAGCUGGCAUCGUGAUUGGACUGUACUUUGGUCUGUUCCAAUCCAGCUUCAGCUCCAGAGACGGCAGGCGGGACGAGUCAACAGAGGCCGGAUGGACGAAGGCAUGCAGCUGAGUACAAUCCAGAAAACAACAGAGGAGGAGUGCAGUGGUCCAGGGCCAGAACAACCACAGUAGCAUCACCAAAGAACUACAGACUCUUCACAACCUGC